rnacentral:rRNA from 1 species
GACGAACGCUGGCGGCGUGCCUAAUACAUGCAAGUCGAGCGGACGAGUCGGAAGCUUGCUUUUGUUUCGUUAGCGGCGGACGGGUGAGUAACACGUGGGCAACCUGCCCUGUAGACGGGGAUAACACCGAGAAAUCGGUGCUAAUACCGGAUAACACGAAAUAUCGCAUGACGUUUCGUUGAAAGACGGCGCAAGCUGCCGCUACAGGAUGGGCCCGCGGCGUAUUCGCUAGUUGGUGGGGUAACGGCUCACCAAGGCGAUGAUACAUAGCCGACCUGAGGGGGUGAUCGGCCACACUGGGACUGAGACACGGCCCAAACUCCUACGGGAGGCAGCAGUAGGGAAUCUUCGGAAAUGGACGAAAGUCUGACCGAGCAACGCCGCGUGAGUGAAGAAGGUUGUCGGGUCGUAAAAAUCUGUUGGUAGAGAAGAACGUUGGUGAGAGUGGAAAGCUCAUCAAGUGACGGUAACUACCCAGAAAGGGACGGCUAACUACGUG